AUAUUUUUAGCAAUCCCACAGAAAUGGCUAAUGUUAUUGAUCACAAUAUUUUGAUGAGUGAAUUUCAGAAAGACAUUAGAUAUUUUAUCAUGAGCUCUGAGUACUGAUAUGAUUUUAUUCAAUCUAUUCUUUUGAUAAUAAAUUAUACUGUUUAACAGUAUAUUACAUGCUACUAAAGUUUUCAUAACUGAUAAGAAAAGAUUAGAAUGUCUGCAGUGAAGUACACAUUGAAUGUUGAAAUCCUAUUGUAUUUUUUUCUCAGAGUCAGUGCUUGCGGGUCCUCUAUCCGCUCAUCAGAGGAUGUGAAAAAAAAUGGACCACUCUAAAGAGUGACUCAAGGAGGAAAGCCACUAGCCUAAAGAAGGCUAUAUUCCAGACAGGCGGAGGGCCAUCACCAUCUCCACUGAGUGACUUUGAGUAUAAGGUGGUGUCCCUCAUUCCAUCAGUACAAAUCA